CCUACGGGAGGCAGCAGUGGGGAAUUUUGGACAAUGGGCGCAAGCCUGAUCCAGCAAUGCCGCGUGCAGGAUGAAGGCCUUCGGGUUGUAAACUGCUUUUGUACGGAACGAAACGGCUCUUUCUAAUAAAGAGAGCUAAUGACGGUACCGUAAGAAUAAGCACCGGCUAACUACGUGCCAGCAGCCGCGGUAAUACGUAGGGUGCGAGCGUUAAUCGGAAUUACUGGGCGUAAAGCGUGCGCAGGCGGUUAUAUAAGACAGAUGUGAAAUCCCCGGGCUCAACCUGGGACCUGCAUUUGUGACUGUAUAGCUAGAGUACGGUAGAGGGGGAUGGAAUUCCGCGUGUAGCAGUGAAAUGCGUAGAUAUGCGGAGGAACACCGAUGGCGAAGGCAAUCCCCUGGACCUGUACUGACGCUCAUGCACGAAAGCGUGGGGAGCAAACAGGAUUAGAUACCCUGGUAGUCCACGCCCUAAACGAUGUCAACUGGUUGUUGGGUCUUCACUGACUCAGUAACGAAGCUAACGCGUGAAGUUGACCGCCUGGGGGAGGACGGCCGCGAGUAGUAACGUACAAGUAGAGUUAGACGGCGUGAGACGAGCCGACGGACGACGACGAGGGAGGAGG
rnacentral:rRNA from 1 species